UACGUAGGUGGCAAGCGUUGUCCGGAUUUAUUGGGUUUAAAGGGUGCGUAGGCGGUUUUAUAAGUCAGUGGUGAAAUACAACAGCUUAACCGUUGAGGUGCCAUUGAUACUGUAAGACUUGAGUACAGACGAGGUAGGCGGAAUUGACGGUGUAGCGGUGAAAUGCGUAGAGAUGGGGAAGAACACCGAUAGCGAAGGCAGCUUACUAGACUGUAACUGACGCUGAGGCGCGAAAGUGUGGGGAGCAAACAGG
rnacentral:rRNA from 1 species